AUGAAUGCUGGCGGCGUGCCUUAGGCAUGCAAGUCAAGGGGGGUUCCGUAAGGAACAACCGGCAGACGGGUGAGGUAACGCGUAGGGAAUCUACCUCUAGGUGGAACAUAGCUCAGAGAAAUCUGGGGGUAAUUUUCCAUGGUCUCGUAAGAGUAAAGGACUUAACGGUCCGCCAAGGAGAGGAGCCUGCGUCCUAUCAGCUUGUUGGUGGGUGUAAAAGCCUACCAAGGCGAUGACGGGUAGCUGGACUGAGAGGUCGAUCAGCCACAACUGCACUGAAACACGGGGCAGUACACCUACGGGUGGCAGCAACCGGGAAUAUUGCGCAAUGGGGGAAACCCUGACGCAGCGACGCCGCGGUGAUGGAAGAAGGCCUAUGGGUCGUAAACAUCUUUUGAUAAGCCGUUCAACAGCUUAUAGAAUAAGCCUCUACUAACUACGUGCCAGAAGUCUCGGUAAUACGUAGGAGGCAAGCAUUAUCCGGAUUCAUUGGGGCGUAAAGUGUGCGUAGGCGGGACUAGUUGUGUCUUAUUUUAAAGACCAAGGCUUAACCUUGGUUUUGGAUAGGAAACUAUUAGUCUUGAGGAUUAAUCGGGGUGAUAGAACAGUUGAUGUAGCAGUGAAAUGCGUUGAUAUUAACUGGAAUACCAAAGGCGAAGGCAGUCACCUGGGUUCUUACCUGACGCUGAGGCACGAAAGCUAGGGGUAGCGAAACAGAUUAGAGACCUGUGUAGUCCUAGCCGUAACGAUGUCUGCUAGAUUUUCUCUCGCAAAGCGUAUAAGUUUGAUCUUGUACUUUUUGCGAGGGAGAGUCGCAAGCUAACGCGUUAAGCAGACCGCCUGGGGAGUACGGUCGCAAGACUAAAACUCAAAGGAAUUGACGGGGACCCGCACAACCUGUGGAGCGUGUGGUUCAAUUCGAGACAAAACGAAGAACCUCACCAGGGGUUUGAACAUACUACCGUUUAUUGCUUUUGGAAACAUUAGCAAAUCCGUAAGGAUGGUAGUACAGGUGCUGCAUGGCUGUCGUCAGCUCGUGCCGUGAGGUGUUCCCUUAAGUGGGGGGAAACGAGCGCAACCCCCGCCAAAUGUUAAAUUAUUCAUUUGGGACUACCCUGUAUUUUUUACAGGGGGGGAAGGGAGGGGGUAGAUGUCAAGUCAGCAUGGCCCUUAUACCCUGGGCCACACACACACUACAAUGGCGGACUAACAACGUGGUUGCUAGCUGGUAACAGUAAGCUAAUCACUAAAAUUUCGCCUCAGUUCAGAUUGGGGUCUGCAACCCGACCCCAUGAAGCCGGAAUAGGUAGUAAUCGCGGAUCAGCAAGCCACGGUGAAUACGUUCUCGGGUCUUGUACACACCGCCCGUCAAGGCAGCAAAGUUCGGUGGUAGACGAACUGCGCUUUCGCGUAGGAGUCUAAAAUCGGCGAUGAAGCUU
rnacentral:rRNA from 1 species